CAAGUGUCUCUGUUGCGAAGAGAAACGUGAGAAAGGCUAAGAAAGGCGAAAUUCUUAUUUCCAACCCUCGGGGUUGUAAUCUGGAUACCUGGAUUUGGCACCCUGAUAAGUCUUCUGGAACGGACCGCCAUGGAGGGUGACAGCCCCGUAGCAGCAGCCACUGUAAAUCCGGGUCGACGAGUCUAGUUGUUUGGGAAUGCAGCUCUUGUGGGUGGUAUGCUCCAUCUAAAGCUAAAUAUUGGCGAGAGACCGAUAGCAAACAAGUACUGUGAAGGAAAGAUGAAAAGAACUUUGAAAAGAGAGUGAAAAAGUACGUGAAAUUGUUGAAAUGGAAGGCAAUGAGGUGCGAUUGAACCGGUUUUUUGUGGGCAGGACAAAAGCGCAGGCCGCCUCGGCAUUGCCUGCGUGCAUACUGCCUCGCGGACUACCGGUUCUAACAACGCCUUAUUGCACCCCUCUUGAAACACAGACCCCGGGUUAUAUUAUUCCGGAGAAAAUUUCCCCCCCCCUUAAAAAAAAAGCGGGGGGAGUAUUUGUAGAGAAAGAAAACCUCCCCCCGAGGGUUAGAAGAAAGGGGGACAUAUACAUCAGAGAAGAAGGUGAUGUGAACACAAAAAAGGAGUGAAGUCGCUAAGAGGAAAGAGUGAACCCAUCGGCGUCUCCCCAUAGUAGGAGACCCUCCAGGUCGGCCGCACCCGAUAAUUCGUCCAUAUCCUAACCGCACGCGGCUAUAGGCAAGCAACAGCUGCCCCAGAACACAAGAGAGAAUACGAAGAAACAAAUGAAGAAGGGGAGAGAUGCGUAGAUAGAACGAGAGAAAAGGACGGCGACAGAUAACGAAAUAGUAAUGCAGAAAGGAUGCAUAUGGGAUGCAAGGAGCAUGGGAGCAAUAGAUGAUAAACUGAUCAGACGAUGCAUAAAAAGAGAAACAAAAGAGAGUGUACAGGGACCGUCCUGGCGCACACGAUCACCAAAUAGAGACUAAGCAAAGCCCGCACACGACGGAACUGAGGCACAAACAUGACUGCAUAAGUCAGUAAGGGCUAGCAGGGGGGGCUAAAUGG
rnacentral:rRNA from 1 species